UUUACAUUUACUUGAUAAACAAAACUAAAGGUGAAGGUUAAUGUGUAGUGAUUGAUCCCCUACAAUUUAAGGACUUGAGAGUCAAAGUAGAGAAGAAAAUCAAGCAAAUACAUCAUCGUCACUCACCGACUGACAUCGAUCUUUGCUAUCAAGAAUAGGAUGUCUGUUUGAAAAUCAAAAGAGAAAAAAAGUAGCAAUUGGAAAUUUAUAGUUGAAUUAUAUUGCAUAAUCAUAUCUGCACAAACUAUAUCUCUUCACUUUUAUCUACUUGGUUAUAUUUAUCAACCUGUACUAAACCUUAUGUUGUCUUUCAUGAAAAGGGAUGAGAGAUCUAUGUAACAGAUAUGUGUUCUACUAUGCCAUGGAAAGUGGGAAGGAGUUGUGGAAGAAGAAUGCUUAGGAGGGAGAAAUAAGAGUAAAGAAAGAAGAGUAUCAAAGGGUUUUAAGUGAGCCACGUAAUUCGCUGUAGUUUCACGAAUUGUCUUUCGCUAUAAUAAGCAUUUCCGUUAUUUUUUAACUAAUUUUUUGUAGUU
rnacentral:lncRNA from 1 species